GAUGAACGCUCGCUACAGGCUUAACACAUGCAAGUCGAGGGGAAACGACAUCGAAAGCUUGCUUUUGAUGGGCGUCGACCGGCGCACGGGUGAGUAACGCGUAUCCAACCUGCCCAUCACUUGGGAAUAACCUUGCGAAAGUAAGACUAAUACCCAAUGAUAUCCCACGAAGGCAUCGGAAUGGGAUUAAAGAUUUAUCGGUGAUGGAUGGGGAUGCGUCUGAUUAGCUUGUUGGCGGGGUAACGGCCCACCAAGGCAACGAUCAGUAGGGGUUCUGAGAGGAAGGUCCCCCACAUUGGAACUGAGACACGGUCCAAACUCCUACGGGAGGCAGCAGUGACGAAUAUUGGUCAAUGGGCGAGAGCCUGAACCAGCCAAGUAGCGUGCAGGAAGACGGCCCUAUGGGUUGUAAACUGCUUUUAGAAGGGAAUAAAGUGGGUCACGUGUGACUUUUUGCAUGUACCUUAUGAAUAAGAACCGGCUAAUUCCGUG
rnacentral:rRNA from 1 species